AACGCACAUUGCGCCCCUUGGUAUUCCAUGGGGCAUGCCUGUUCGAGCGUCAUUUGUACCUUCAAGCUCUGCUUGGUGUUGGGUGUUUGUCUCCUGUAGACUCGCCUUAAAACAAUUGGCAGCCGGCGUAUUGAUUUCGGAGCGCAGUACAUCUCGCGCUUUGCACUCAUAACGACGACGUCCAAAAGUACAUUUUUACACGCUUGACCUCGGAUCAGGUAGGGAUACCCGCUGAACUUAA
rnacentral:misc_RNA from 1 species